ACUCAAAGGAAUUGACGGGGACUCGCACAAGCGGUGGAACAUGAGGUUUAAUUCGACGAUGAACGAAGAACCUCACCAGGGCUUGAAAUUCUAGUAGUAAUCCCGCAGAAACGUGGGACCUCCGCAAGGACUGCUAGGACAGGUGCUGCAUGGUUGUCGUCAGUUCGUGCCGUGAGGCGUUCCCUUAAUUGGGGUAACGAACGCAACCCCUGUCUCGUGUUAUAUGUGUCACGAGAGACUGCCCACCCUAAAGAUCGGAAGACAAUUUGUUGUCUUGUGAUUUUCAGGGUGGGAGGAAGGAGGGGAUGACGUCAAAUCAGCAUGGCCCUUUGAUGCCCUGGGCUACACUCAUGUUACAAUGGCCACGACAAUGGGCUGCCAAGCCGUAAGGCGGAGCUAAUCCCUUAAACGUGGUCCUAGUUCGGAUUGAGGGCUGCAACUCGCCCUCAUGAAGUUGGAAUCGCUAGUAAUCGUGGGUCAGCCAUACCACGGUGAAUACGUUCUCGAGUCCUGUACACACCGCCCGU
rnacentral:rRNA from 1 species